GUAGCUUAGUGGUAGAGCACUUGCCUAGCAUGCAGAAGGCCCUGGGUUCCAUUCCCACC
rnacentral:tRNA from 1 species